CUGACUGCUCCUUUUCCUUGGCUGCAUUUUUAAGCAACAGAAGAGAGAGGGAGGAGGACCUGAGAGCACGAAGGAGGAAAAGCAAAAACAAAAGACCUGUGUCCGUGCCAGGUGCAGACUUACGAAGGCCCAAAUGCUGUUAAAGCAGAAGCGUGGAAUGAGGCUCCUGGGAAGUGCUUAAAAAUAGAAGUCGUGGCCGCAGACAAGAGGUGUGUUCACAGCUGCUACAGGGAGAAAAAUAGCAAAUAUUGCACUCAGCAGACUCAGACACUUUGAUGGAGAGAUUUCUACCUUGUGGGAUUUUCUCUGUUUCCUUCUGACUGUAGCAAACCCCAGACUGCCCCUUUAGAAGUCAGUAACUCAACCACCCACAAGUAUGCAUUGGCUUUUCCCCAGAGACCAAGUUAGGUGUUUUGGGAGGCGAAGAAGUAGAAGUGCCUGUCCUUGCUCUCGGGUGGUUACAGCUGAGCCAGGCACUUGGAAUGGUAACACCCGGAAAGGAAAAGUGACCACCUCCGAGCAACCCCACGCUGCUGGAUUCCAGACUGAACACAGCCUGGAACAGAAGGGAUGAGUCAGAGGCUCACACAGACUUCUUCCAAUCUGGGCAGAGGUACUGGGAACCGACUGGAGGAUCUCAUGCUUGGUAAGCAUGUGCUCUACCACUUGAGCUAUACCUGCCCCCCUUGGAUUGACGCAGCUUUCGUCAAACACUUGAAGCCCUGAAACAGAUGAGGAAGCUGAGCCAUGGAGAAGUUUUAAUACCUGCUUUCAUAUCCUCUCCUAAAUCCCUCUACAAGUAAGUGGUGAAACUGCUGCCUGGCUUCAAAGUCCAGCACUUAGUCAAGCCUGCUUAGCUUCCUGCACAAUGGUUUAUAGUCAUGAAGCUCAUCAGUUUGGACACGACAGCCGAAGGAUAGACUUGCCUUUAUCCUAUAAGAUUAUGAACCUUCUUUGAGAUGUAAACUCACCAAGCAACUUUUUAAUUAAUGUUAAUACCAAAAGGCACCAGCACCUGGGGGAGGCCUGGAUCACAGAUAUAAAAAUGCAAGUAAAAAAGUUAUACCCUAUUGUAAUAGUAACCUGUAAUGAAAAAGAAUAUGAAAAGUAUAUGUAUGUAUAUGUAUGACUGAAA